ACCCAGGGUGAAAACUGCCCUUAGUCCCGCCUUACUGCCCCAUUGGUUAGAGUGACAGUCAGUCACACAGUGCAUGCAGCCAAUUGACACACCUGAGGCAAUUAUUUAGGCUUGCUCCAGCUUUCCCCAGUCAGAUGUGAGGGGGAGAGCUGGAGACAAAGGAGCUACAGAUCCGAGAAAUCCAGUGAGUUUGGAGCCUUGGAGCUGCCAUACUCUCAUCUUUUAUUGGAAUUGGCCAGGUGAUCCCUUUUUAGGGAAAAAGAUGGCGAGCUUCUGAAAACUGGCUGGAGCCAGGAGAGCCUUAAGAAUCACUCCACAGUGGACUGGUCUGUAUCAUUUCCCCCCUCCAUCUCACCACUCAGGCAUACACUCCAUUAUUCACUUCUUCAUCUGAAACAACUUGCGCUGGGACAUUCUUCAACUUAAAUAUCUGGAUAAUCCAACCAUGGAUUUCUGAAUGUGUGUCGGGUCAGACUCUGGACUGAUCAGCGGGGAAUUUAAGACCAGUUGUGCACAAACAAAAGGAUUACCACAGUACUGUGUAUAUAUAUUUUUUUUGUAUUUAUUUUGGGUUCUAUGUAUGUUGUCUUGUAUUGUUUACUUUAAAUUUGUCUAAUACAUGGUAUUGAAGGCAGUUAUUUUGUGUUGUUUAUUGAUUACUGACAACGGCUCCAGUAGACGAAUUCUAGUCUUCUGAUUUUCUUCCAUCUGGUCCUUUUACACUUUAAAUAGUGCUACAUUAUUGGCGAGCUAGCCAGGAGCUGUUUUGAUCAGUAAUCAAUAGAAAACAGUUGAGCAAAGUUGCACAAAUAAGGUUCCUACUCACCAAUUCAAUUUCCAUUAUGGAGGUUUUUGAAACCCUUGGUCUAAAAAUCCCUAACACAGUAUUGAUUGAUGGAGUCCCAGAGAACCCCACUGAUGAACUUAUUGCUUUUCUUGAACAGUAUGGUGAUAUCAAGCAGAGACUUACCAUUGAUUCAUCUGAAUCAGAAUUUGAUCAAAUGUUGGUUGUUGAAUUUGAUUCUGGGUUGUCUUUAGCACGCUUAUCUCCAAUAUUACCAUAUACAUUUACAUCAAGUGUGGGUGAUAAAUUUCAUAUUGAAAGUUUAUCUGAGAUUUAUGCCUCAAAGGUUGGUGGUUUAAAGACAAACAAGUAUUUGGAUGAUUUACAAGAAAUUGCCAAAUUGUCUGGAAAAAAUUACACUCAAGUCCUCACAGAAGUGAUGUCCCAGAUACAGCAGUCUAUUGCAGAGUUCUGUCCUGUGGUGCUAAAGAAGGCAAAAGAGGAACAGUUUGCAGAUGAAGAUGGAGGGCAGCAGCCAUCAGCUCAUGCCACAACUCAACUCCCUUUUCCUCUGUCAUCCCUCUCACAGUCAGUUCCUCUCCCAUCCAGCUCUGCUGUCUCCAACAGAGCUGAAGUGCCAAGUCAGGAGAGGCGGUCCACACCCAUUUCCGCUGGUGAUCUUAAUCCUCCUGAGGUGCAACGGUACGUUGUGGAGCAUGUUGUUAGGAGUGGGGACAGCUCUCUGCAUAUGCACACAUCCCAUAGACUGAGAGCAUUCUCUGGAAAAGUCCCCAGGCCAAGUCAUGAGACAGACUAUGACACAUGGCGUUCAAGUGUUGAAUUAGUUCUUCAAGAUCCCUCUAUGUCACAGCUGCAAUGUACCAGAAUAAUUCGUGACAGUUUACUUCCACCUGCCUGUGAUAUAGUGAAACAUUUGAGUCCUGACACAUUACCAAAAGUAUACCUGGAACAACUUGAUUCAGCUUAUGGAACUGUUCAAGAUGGAGAGGAGUUGUAUGUUAAAUUCAUGGACACCUAUCAGGACAGUGGAGAAAAGCCGUCUGCCUAUUUGCAGCGUCUGCAGGUUGUAUUACAGAGUGCAGUAAAGAGAGGAGGUGAUUUGGAGAAGGACAUGGAUGCACGACUGUUGACCCAAUUCUGCAGAGGGUGCUGGGACAACAAUUUAAUCUCAGAACUUCAACUUAAACAGAGAAAAAAUAAUCCACCAUCAUUUGCUGAGCUUUUGUUGUUACUGAGAACUGAAGAGGACAGGGAAGCAGCAAAGACCUUGAGGAUGAAGCAUCAUUUGGGAACCACUAAACAGAAGGUUGCGUCUCAGGUCCAGUUUGCACAUACUGAUCAGGAAACUAACUUGUGUGUUGCUCUGAAUAACAUGACUAAACAGCUUUCACAACAGAUGGCUGCAAUACAGCAGCAGCUCACUGCUUUAACAGCAGGUCAAAUGGGCACUAAGCUACCUUUUGCUGGAAGAGUUACUUCAAAGCCUAUUGUGAAAAAGACUGUUAAAGAUGUAAAAUUCGGCAUGUCUAGCUCUAAACCUGGGUUUUGUUUCCGUUGUGGGGAGGAUGGCCAUAUCAAGCCUCGAUGUGAUAAUGAGCCCAAUUCAGCAUUGGUCAGUGCAAAGUGGAAAAUAUUUUAUGACAAACAGAAGAGACAGGGACAAAAUCCCUCUCCUACAGCACAUUUAAACUAGUUCCAGUUCCUGUUGAGGGACGAACAGGAACUGAGCUGGACCAACUUUGUCCUACAGAGAGAGAGUCUGUUAAGUGUGCAAAGAUGCAGACAAAAACCAAAAUUAACUUACCAAAAGGAUUAAUCGGAUCCAGAUGUACAGCAGAAGUCAAUAUUGCUGGCCACAGCUCUCAAUGUCUUCUAGAUACCGGCUCUCAAGUCACUACAAUUCCAGUUUCUUUCUUCAAUGAGCAUCUCUCAGAUCAUCCAGUGCAUUCAUUAAAUGACCUACUUCAUGUUGAAGGGGCUGCAGGUCAACAAGUUCCAUAUUUGGGUUAUGUUGAAAUACCAAUAACUUUUCCAAAAGACUUUAUUGGGAGUGAACUAACAGUUGAAACCCUUGCUUUGGUUGUUCCUGAUGUGAGACCCGGAUUUCCAGCUUCAGUACUAAUUGGGAUGAAUACACUUGAAAUUCUCUAUGAAAAGUUUUGUUCCAGUGAUUGUCCCACAUUCCAACCUACCUCAUACGGGUUUAAAACAGUUCUGCAUCAGUUAAUGCAUCAGCAGAACUGUGGCAAUCAUUUGGGUGUUGUGACUCUCCAUAGUAAAACUCCUGUACUUAUUCCAGCUGGUUGCACAAUGGUGGUCGAGGGUCGUGCCAAGCUCUCUUCUACAGCCAGUCAGUGUGCUGUUGUUCGGCACCCGGUUUCAGGCCUGCCGGGUGGCCUGGUUGUCAGUAGCUGUCUGGUUGCACUUCAAGCUGACUCACUCAAUAAGGUUCCAGUUGCUGUUUCCAAUGAAACAAAGCAAGUCAUUUCCAUACCAGCUUUAAGUAUCAUUGCUGAACUGGAAGCCUAUGCAGGUAUCAUCUCAGAGCAUAAUGUGACCAACCACAUGGCUGAGAAAACAUCAACAGCAUCUUUGAAAAUCAAUUUUGGUGAGUCUCCAAUACCAUCAGAAUGGAAGGAAAGAAUCAUAACAAAGUUAAAUGCUGUACCUGAAGUUUUUGCUCAUCAUGAUUUAGAUUUUGGAUGUACCAAGCAAGUGAAACAUCACAUUAAUCUUCAUGAUAAUACUCCUUUCAAACAUCGUGCGAGACCGAUUCACCCACAAGAUAUAGAGGCUGUUCGCAAACACUUACGUGAACUUCUGGAUGCUGGUGUUAUCAGAGAAUCUGAAUCCCCUUUCUCAUCUCCAAUUGUUGUUGUUAAGAAAAAAAAUGGAGACAUUCGACUGUGCAUUGACUACCGUAAACUUAAUUUACAAACUGUCAAAGAUGCAUAUGCUUUGCCCAACCUGGAAGAAUCAUUUACAGCUCUCAGAGGAUCAAAGUGGUUUUCAGUGCUAGAUCUGAAAUCUGGUUAUUAUCAGAUUGAAAUGAAUGAAGCAGAUAAAGCUAAGACUGCUUUUGUUACUCCACUUGGGUUUUGGGAGUUUAACCGAAUGCCUCAGGGGGUUACAAAUGCACCAUCAACCUUUCAAAGAUUGAUGGAGAAAUGUAUGGGUGACCUGCAUUUGAAAGAGGUAUUGGUUUUUUUGGAUGACUUGAUCAUAUUCUCAAACAGUCUUGAAGAACAUGAAAACCGUCUGCUGAGAGUUCUAAAUCGUCUGAAAGAGUUUGGAUUAAAACUUUCUUUGGAAAAAUGUAAAUUUUUCCAAACCUCUGUCAGAUACUUGGGUCAUAUAGUUUCAGAAAAAGGUGUUGAGACAGACCCAGAAAAGAUUUCCACAGUGAAAUCCUGGCCAAUUCCUACUAAUUUGAAAUCUUUAAGAUCUUUUCUGGGAUUUACUGGCUAUUAUAGACGUUUCAUAAAAGGAUACGCCACUAUUGCCAAGCCUCUUAACAAUUUGACCCGUGGGUACCCCCCAACUAAUAAACCCUCAAGAGUACAAUCUUCUAAGUGCCCACAGUUUGAUCCAAAGCAACCUUUUGGUUCCAGGUGGACUUCUGAGUGUCAGCUGGCUUUUGAUACCCUGAUCGACAAACUUACUACUGCACCGGUCCUGGGGUUUGCUGAUCCUGCACUACCUUACAUCCUUCACACAGAUGCCAGCACCACUGGACUGGGUGCUGCCCUAUACCAGGAACAUGAGGGGAAGCUCAGGGUAAUAGCUUAUGCUAGUCGAGGGUUGUCAGCCAGCGAAAGUCGUUAUCCAGCUCAUAAACUUGAAUUCUUAGCACUGAAGUGGAGUGUAACAGAAAAGUUUCAAGAUUAUUUGUAUGGAGCAAAUUUUACAGUUGUUACUGAUAAUAAUCCACUUACUUACAUCCUAACCUCAGCUAAGCUGGAUGCUACCAGUCAUCGUUGGCUGGCUGCACUUUCUACUUUCUCCUUUAAGUUGCAGUAUCGAGCAGGGAAACACAACCAGGAUGCUGAUGCACUCUCUCGUCGUCCCUGUGAAAAUCCUGUCAUAGAUGAGGUUGCACAUAAAGAUCAGGAACUCAUCUCUCAGUUUGCUCAACAACAUCUUUUAGACAACAGCAACAAUGAGAUGUCAUCUGAAGUGAUGGAUGCAAUCUGCCAAAGUCGUCUGGUUCGGACCCAAGUUGAAAGUCUUUUGGUUGAAUCACUCUCUGUCAGGGCAGAUGUCAUUCCUGUGGAUUACUCUGAAGAGGCACAUGGACUUCCUGUUGUUCCUGCAAUGUCUCAUUCUGACCUAAAAGAUCAUCAGAGAGCUGAUCCUACUGUCAGGGAAAUUAUCCAUCAGUUGGAGUCAGGUGAAAAAAUUCCCCCAACAGUCAGGAGUGAACUUCCAGAACUUCAUCUUCUCCUUAGAGAAUUUACAAAACUGGAGAUGAUUGAUGGCAUUCUUUACAGGAAACGGCAAGAAAAUGAGCAACAUGUAUAUCAACUGGUCCUUCCAGCAGACCUCCGUGAAUCUGUUCUUCAUAGUCUUCACAAUGACAUGGGCCACCCGGGAAUAGAGCGAACCCUGGAUCUUGUUAGAGCUCGAUUCUAUUGGCCUAGAAUGGCUAUGUAUGUGGAGCAGAAAAUAAAAGCAUGUGGACGUUGUGUUCGUCGAAAGACUCUGACAGAGAGAGCUGCUCCACUAGUUAACAUUCGGACUUCACGCCCACUGGAGCUCAUUUGUAUGGAUUUUCUCAGUCUUGAACCUGAUACCAGCAAUACCAAAGACAUUCUCGUGUUGACAGAUCAUUUCACCAAGUUUGCCAUUGCUAUUCCAACACCGAAUCAAAAGGCAAGAACGGUUGCCAAAUGUCUUUUGGACAAUUUCAUUAUCUAUUUUGGAAUUCCAGAAAGACUACAUACAGAUCAAGGAUCUGAUUUUGAGUCCAAAUUGAUAAAAGAGCUGUGUGCUAUGACAGGAAUUAAAAAGUGUCAUACAACACCAUACCAUCCCAGAGGAAACCCUGUAGAAAGGUUUAACCGCACACUCUUAGCAAUGUUGGGAACUCUUGAACCAAAACAGAAGUCAAAAUGGAAAGAAUAUGUUAAACCUCUCGUUCAUGCGUACAAUUGUACCAGAAAUGAAGUGACAGGAUAUAGUCCUUAUGAACUUAUGUUUGGACGCUGUCCUCGACUCCCGAUUGAUCUUGCUUUUGGUCUUCCUAUCUGUGAAGAGAAAUGUCCAUCACAUUCGCAGUAUGUACAGAACCUGAAGUCACGGUUGAAAGAGAGUUAUCAAAUAGCAUCAAAGAACUCUGCCAGAAGUGCUAAAAGAAACAAGACUCGGUUUGAUCAGCGAGUUCUACCAUCCAAGCUGGAAGUUGGAGACCGAGUACUUGUGCGGAAUGUGAGACUCAGAGGUAAACACAAACUCUGUGAUAAAUGGGAGCAAGAUGUAUUUGUAGUGGUGAAGUGUGCUGGGGAUCUCCCAGUUUAUACGGUGAAACCAGAGUGCAAAGAUGGCCCACUACGCACUCUACACAGAGACCUUCUUCUUCCAUGUGGUUUUCUCCCCAUGACAGAUGCUGAAAGACCAACUGAGACAGUUCCAGUCACAAAACCCCAAACACGUCAACACACCAAGAAAUGUCAAGAAUCUUCUGAGGACUCUGCAGAAGGUGAGAACUGUGAGCAAGAAGAGAUUCCAUUCUAUCUAGUUCCACCUCCAUUAGAAUUUAAAAUGGAGAAACCACUCAGACAGUCAUCACCUCCUGAUGAUGAAGAAAACUCUGUUGUCCCCACAGUUUCUACAGUGGAAAAACAACCUGUUGAAAUUCUUUCAGAUUCUGAGAGUUUGAAGUCAGUUGUUGAAGUGGAAUCAAUUGAACCAGAAUCUAGUGUCAAAGAGCAACCUGAUGUUUCUGCAGAACAAGUUCCACCUCAUCCUGAAGACUUACCUGAUCCAGGCAGCCCCGUUGGUGAAACUGUUCCUGUUCCUGAUUCUGAAAUUUCUUUGAACAGAUCCCCAAACCUUGAUGGCAUAAAUCAAAUUGAUGACAUUUCUCUAAGACGAUCAACACGUCACAGAGUGGCGCCUAAACGGCUUCAAUAUACUACUUUAGGCAAUCCGCUUAUUUCAGUUGUUCAAACUUUAUUGCACAGUUUGUCUGAUGCUUUAGUUUUGACACCCACCACUUCCAGCAAUGUUCACAUUGUUUAAUGUUUACAUGUCACGGGACGUGCAUGAUUUAAAGGGGGGAGGGUGUAACCCAGGGUGAAAACUGCCCUUAGUCCCGCCUUACUGCCCCAUUGGUUAGAGUGACAGUCAGUCACACAGUGCAUGCAGCCAAUUGACACACCUGAGGCAAUUAUUUAGGCUUGCUCCAGCUUUCCCCAGUCAGAUGUGAGGGGGAGAGCUGGAGACAAAGGAGCUACAGAUCCGAGAAAUCCAGUGAGUUUGGAGCCUUGGAGCUGCCAUACUCUCAUCUUUUAUUGGAAUUGGCCAGGUGAUCCCUUUUUAGGGAAAAAGAUGGCGAGCUUCUGAAAACUGGCUGGAGCCAGGAGAGCCUUAAGAAUCACUCCACAGUGGACUGGUCUGUAUCAUUUCCCCCCUCCAUCUCACCACUCAGGCAUACACUCCAUUAUUCACUUCUUCAUCUGAAACAACUUGCGCUGGGACAUUCUUCAACUUAAAUAUCUGGAUAAUCCAACCAUGGAUUUCUGAAUGUGUGUCGGGUCAGACUCUGGACUGAUCAGCGGGGAAUUUAAGACCAGUUGUGCACAAACAAAAGGAUUACCACAGUACUGUGUAUAUAUAUUUUUUUGUAUUUAUUUUGGGUUCUAUGUAUGUUGUCUUGUAUUGUUUACUUUAAAUUUGUCUAAUACAUGGUAUUGAAGGCAGUUAUUUUGUGUUGUUUAUUGAUUACUGACAACGGCUCCAGUAGACGAAUUCUAGU